rnacentral:rRNA from 1 species
UCCGAUGCUAAAGACUGGGGCUCAACCCCAGGGGUGCGUUGGAUACUGUGAGGCUAGACGGUCGGAGGGGGUAGCGGAAUUUCCGGAGUAGCGGUGAAAUGCGCAGAUACCGGAAGGAACGCCAAUAGCGAAGGCAGCUACCUGGACGACUUGUGACGCUGAGGCGCGAAAGCGUGGGGAGCAAACCGGAUUAGAUACCCGGGUAGUCCACGCCCUAAACCAUGAGUGCUGGGUGUCCGGCUUCUGCUGGGUGCCGUAGCUAACGCGCUAAGCACUCCGCCUGGGAAGUACGCACGCAAGUGUGAAACUCAAAGGAAUUGACGGGGGCCCGCACAAGCGGUGGAGCAUGUGGUUUAAUUCGAAGCGACGCGAAGAACCUUACCAGGCCUUGACAUGCCCGGAACCCCUCUGAAAGGAGGGGGUGCCCGCAAGGGAGCCGGGACACAGGUGCUGCAUGGCCGUCGUCAGCUCGUGUCGUGAGAUGUUGGGUUAAGUCCCGCAACGAGCGCAACCCCUAUCCCUAGUUGCCAGCAGUUCGGCUGGGCACUCUAUGGAGACUGCCUGCGAAAGCAGGAGGAAGGCGGGGAUGACGUCUGGUCCGCAUGGCCCUUACGGCCUGGGCGACACACGUGCUACAAUGCCAAGGACAGAGCGCUGCUACCUCGCGAGAGGACGCCAAUCGCAAAAACCUUGGCUCAGUUCGGAUUGGAGUCUGCAACUCGACUCCAUGAAGCCGGAAUCGCUAGUAAUCGCGAAUCAGCCAU